rnacentral:lncRNA from 1 species
AAAUCCUGCAGUUCAGGAUGCUGGAAGGUAAAAGAUACUCACCUCUUCUCUAACCCCCCUAAUAUGACACACACACACACAGACACACACACACAAACCCACACACAGAUCCAUAUAUACAUGCAGACAGCCACACAAACACACAGAGGCACACAUACAGCCACACAAACACAAACACACAGCCACACAAACAUACACAUACAUAUACACACAGCCACACAAACACACACAGAGGCACACAUACAGCUGCACAAACACAAACACACAGCCACACAAACAUACACAUACAUAUACACAGCUACACAAACACAAACACACAGCCACACAAACAUACACAC